rnacentral:rRNA from 1 species
GGUUUGUUAAGUUAGAUGUUAAAUACUGAGGCUCAACCUCAGCACGGCAUUUGAUACUGGCAGACUUGAAUGCGGUAGAGGUAAAGGGAAUUCCUGGUGUAGCGGUGAAAUGCGUAGAUAUCAGGAGGAACAUCGGUGGCGUAAGCGCUUUACUGGGCCGUAAUUGACGCUGAGGAACGAAAGCCAGGGUAGCGAAUGGGAUUAGAUACCCCAGUAGUCCUGGCCGUAAACGAUGGAUACUAGGUGUUGCGGGUAUCGACCCCUGCAGUGCCGUAGCUAACGCGAUAAGUAUCCCGCCUGGGGAGUACGCACGCAAGUGUGAAACUCAAAGGAAUUGACGGGGACCCGCACAAGCGGUGGAACAUGUGGUUUAAUUCGAAGCAACGCGAAGAACCUUACCAAGACUUGACAUCUAGAGAACCUUUAUGAAAGUAGAGGGUGCUCUUCGGAGAACUCUAAGACAGGUGGUGCACGGUUGUCGUCAGCUCGUGUCGUGAGAUGUUGGGUUAAGUCCCACAACGAGCGCAACCCUCGUUGUUAGUUGCAUGCAUCGGUAUACUGGUGCAGUGCUCUCUAGCAAGACUGCCGGUGAUAAACCGGAGGAAGGUGGGGACGACGUCAAAUCAUCAUGCCCCUUAUGUCUUGGGCUACACACGUGUUACAAUGGUUGGUACAACGAGCCGCCAACUCGCGAGAGUGAGCAAAUCUCUUAAAACCAGCCUCAGUUCGGAUUGCACUCUGCAACUCGAGUGCAUGAAGUCGGAAUCGCUAGUAAA